UACGGGGGGUGCAAACGUUGCUCGGAAUUAUUGGGCGUAAAGCGCACGUAGGCGGUCCUGUAAGUCGGGUGUGAAAGCCCCAGGCUUAACCUGGGAAGUGCACUCGAAACUGUAGGGCUUGAGUAUGGAAGAGGGUCUCGGAAUUCCCGGUGUAGAGGUGAAAUUCGUAGAUAUCGGGAGGAACACCAGUGGCGAAGGCGGAGACCUGGGCCAAUACUGACGCUGAGGUGCGAAAGCGUGGGGAGCAAACAGG
rnacentral:rRNA from 3 species